AUUAGAAGGGGUUAGAAGAGGUUAGCUGAAGAAAAGAAAAAGUAAGGAAAUAUUUUGGGCAAAUAGGAUCAAGGGUUAUAAAUUAUAACUCGGAUUCAGGGAUUCAGUAAGUUUUCCUAUCAUAAUCAGGUGUGUAUAAAUCACAUUUUUAAUUUUACAUGUAUUAUGUGGUUAAUUGCUAUGUGUUGACUUAGAGUGAAUAUUUGGACUAUAUGAUACGAACAUGAUAUAGUUAUGUGUUAUUUGAUAUUGACUGUGAAA